UGAAUACGAGACGCUAAGGCGUCGAAGUAGUGUAUGUCAUACUUCCAAGAAAAGCUUGCACUGUCAUAGAUAAAAAACGCCUGUACCAUAACCGACACAGGUGGGUAGGUAGAGUAUACUAAGGGGCGCGAGAUAACUCUCUCUAAGGAACUCGGCAAAAUAACUCCGUAACUUCGGGAGAAGGAGUGCCUUAUUCGUAAGGUUGCAAUAACAAGAUCCAAGCAACUGUUUAUCAGAAACACAGGUCUCCGCUAAGUCGUAAGACGAUGUAUGGGGGCUGACGCCUGCCCAGUGCCGGAAGGUUAAAGAAGUUGGUUAGCAAUUGCGAAGCUGAUAACUGAAGCCCUGGUGAACGGCGGCCGUAACAAUAACGGUCCUAAGGUAGCGAAAUUCCUUGUCGGGUAAGUUCCGACCCGCACGAAAGGCGUAAUGAUUUGGAUACUGUCUCGGAGAGGGGCUCGGUGAAAUAGACUUGUCUGUGAAGAUGCAGACUACCUGCACCAGGACAGAAAGACCCUAUGAAGCUUUACUGUAACUUGAAAUUGAAAUUGGACUUUAUUCGCGCAGCAUAGGUGGGAGGCGUUGAUUAUAAUCUUGCGGGAUUAUUGGAGCCAUCAGUGAGAUACCACUCUUGUAAUGUUAGAUUUCUAACUUUGAAUCAUUAUCUGGUCAAAGAACAGUUUCAGGCGGGCAGUUUGACUGGGGCGGUCGCCUCCUAAACGGUAACGGAGGCGUACAAAGGUUUCCUCUGAACGGUUAGAAAUCGUAUCUAGAGUGUAAAGGCAUAAGGAAGCUUGACUGUGAGACCUACAAGUCGAGCAGGGACGAAAGUCGGUCUUAGUGAUCUGACGGUACUGAGUGGAAAGGCCGUCACUCAACGGAUAAAAGUUACUCUAGGAUAACAGGCUGAUCUCCCCCAAGAGUUCACAUCGACGGGGAGGUUUGGCACCUCGAUGUCGGCUCAUCGCAUCCUGGGGCGGUAGUACGUCCCAAGGGUUGGGCUUUUCGCCCAUGAAAGCGGUACGCGAGCUGGGUUCAGAACGUCGUGAGACAGUUCGGUCCAUAUCCGGUGUAGGCGUUAGAAUAUUGAGAGGAGCCUUCUUUAGUACGAGAGGACCGAGAAGGACAUACCUCUGGUGUACCAGUUAUCGUGCCAACGGUAAACGCUGGGUAGCUAUGUAUGGAGUGGAUAACCGCUGAAAGCAUCUAAGUGGGAAGCCCACCUCAAGAUAAGUAUUCUCAC
rnacentral:rRNA from 1 species